rnacentral:rRNA from 1 species
GACGAACGCUGGCGGCGUGCUUAACACAUGCAAGUCGAACGGAGAGGCCCUGCUUUUGUGGGGUGCUCGAGUGGCGAACGGGUGAGUAACACGUGAGUAACCUGCCCUUGACUUUGGGAUAACUUCAGGAAACUGGGGCUAAUACCGGAUAGGAGCUCCUGCUGCAUGGUGGGGGUUGGAAAGUUUCGGCGGUUGGGGAUGGACUCGCGGCUUAUCAGCUUGUUGGUGGGGUAGUGGCUUACCAAGGCUUUGACGGGUAGCCGGCCUGAGCGGGUGACCGGCCACAUUGGGACUGAGAUACGGCCCAGACUCCUACGGGAGGCAGCAGUGGGGAAUAUUGCACAAUGGGCGGAAGCCUGAUGCAGCAACGCCGCGUGCGGGAUGACGGCCUUCGGGUUGUAACCCGCUUUCGCCUGUGACGAAGCGUGAGUGACGGUAAUGGGUAAAGAAGCACCGGCUAACUACGUG